rnacentral:rRNA from 1 species
UUUGCAAGGUGCUGCAUGGGUUUGUCGUCAGCUCGUGCCGUGAGGUGUCGGGUUAAGUCCCAUAACGAGCGCAACCCUUAUCGUUAGUUGCCAGCGGGUAAAGCCGGGAACUCUAGCGAAACUGCCGGUGUAAACCGAGAGGAAGGUGGGGAUGACGUCAAAUCAGCACGGCCCUUAUGUCCAGGGCUACACACGUGUUACAAUGGCCGGUACAGAGGGCAGCUACCUGGAGACAGGAUGCUAAUCUCGAAAACCGGUCUCAGUUCGGAUCGAAGUCUGCAACUCGACUUCGUGAAGCUGGAUUCGCUAGUAAUCGCGCAUCAGCCAUGGCGCGGUGAAUACGUUCCCGGGCCUU